UGAGAGAUGGAGUGACACAGUAGGAUAAGCUAACCGUACUGUUGGUUAUGUACGGCUAAGCAUUGAGGCAGUCUAAAUAGGCAAAUCCGUUUAGACAAUGCUAGGAUGUGAUGGGGAAGCCCUUCGGGGCGAAGUAGCUGAUUUCACACUGUCAAGAAAAGCUUCUAUCGAGUUUAAAGGCGCCCGUACCGUAAACCGACACAGGUGGGUGAGGAGAGUAUCCUAAGGCCAGCGAGAGAACUAUUGUUAAGGAACUCGGCAAAAUGACCCCGUAACUUAGGGAGAAGGGGUGCCUGUCUAUGACAGGCCGCAGAGAAUAGGCCCAAGCGACUGUUUACCAAAAACACAGGUUUCUGCUAAGUCGCAAGACGAUGUAUAGGAGCUGACGCCUGCCCGGUGCUGGAAGGUUAAGGGGAUCUGUUAGAGCAAUCGAAGCAGUGAACUUAAGCCCCAGUAAACGGCGGCCGUAACAAUAACGGUCCUAAGGUAGCGAAAUUCCUUGUCGGGUAAGUUCCGACCCGCACGAAAGGCGUAACGAUUUGGGCACUGUCUCAACAAUAGACUCGGUGAAAUUGUAAUCCCGGUGAAGAUGCCGGGUACCUGCGACAGGACGGAAAGACCCCAUGGAGCUUUACUGUAGCUUGACGUUGGGUCUUGGUACUACAUGUACAGGAUAGGUGGGAGACUAUGAAGCAUGGACGCCAGUCUGUGUGGAGUCAUCCUUGGGAUACCACCCUUGUAGUACUGGGAUCCUAACCAUAGGCCUUGAAUCAGGUCUUGGAACACCGUCAGGUGGGCAGUUUGACUGGGGCGGUCGCCUCCUAAAAAGUAACGGAGGCGCUCAAAGGUUUCCUCAGUACGGUCGGAAAUCGUGCGAAGAGUGUAAAGGCAAAAGGAAGCUUGAUUGCAAGACAUACAGGUCGAGCAAGGACGAAAGUCGGACUUAGUGAUCCGGUGGUACCGCAUGGAAGGGCCAUCGCUCAACGGAUAAAAGCUACCCUGGGGAUAACAGGCUUAUCUCCCCCAAGAGUCCACAUCGACGGGGAGGUUUGGCACCUCGAUGUCGGCUCAUCACAUCCUGGGGCUGUAGUAGGUCCCAAGGGUUGGGCUGUUCGCCCAUUAAAGUGGUACGCGAGCUGGGUUCAGAACGUCGUGAGACAGUUCGGUCCCUAUCCGUCGCAGGCGUAGGAAAUUUGAGAAGACCUGUCCUUAGUACGAGAGGACCGGGAUGGACGUACCUCUGGUGUACCAGUUGUUCUGCCAAGGGCAUGGCUGGGUAGCUAUGUACGGAAUGGAUAAGCGCUGAAAGCAUCUAAGCGCGAAGCCAACUUCAAGAUAAGAUUUCCCACCGUAAGGGUAAGACCCCAGGAAGACUACCUGGUUGAUAGGUCGAAGGUGUAAGUGCAGUAAUGUAUUUAGCUUAUCGAUACUAAUAGGUCGAGGACUUGACCG
rnacentral:rRNA from 1 species